rnacentral:rRNA from 1 species
UACGUAGGGUGCGAGCGUUAAUCGGAAUUACUGGGCGUAAAGCGUGCGCAGGCGGUUGUGCAAGACAGAUGUGAAAUCCCCGGGCUCAACCUGGGAAUUGCAUUUGUGACUGUACGGCUAGAGUGUGUCAGAGGGGGGUAGAAUUCCACGUGUAGCAGUGAAAUGCGUAGAGAUGUGGAGGAAUACCGAUGGCGAAGGCAGCCCCCUGGGAUAACACUGACGCUCAUGCACGAAAGCGUGGGGAGCAAACAGG